AGAUGUGAGGGUAAUCUGGCAGUUGCAUCUACCACCCCAUAGAUCUCUGAGGUUGAUUUCCUGGUCUAGAGGGGCAGGUGUGUAUCCUAUCCUCACAUAACUCCAUGUGUGUUCCUUCUAAAGCUGCAUGCUAGAUCAAAAGUAUGAUCAUCUCUGACAGAGGAGGAAGAUUCUUCAGUCAAAGGUACACGAAUAACUCUGCUCCCCUGCUUUAACUGGCAACCAAGCUCUCAAGGUCAUCGUUUGUAAAAACAACAAAUUGUACACUCUGCAAUCAUAAAUUAGCACUUUUUAUGUGGAAACAAU
rnacentral:snRNA from 1 species